rnacentral:rRNA from 1 species
UACAGAGGGGGCAAGCGUUGUCCGGAAUUAUUGGGCGUAAAGCGUCCGUAGAUGGUUUUGUCAGUCUGCUGUCAAAGCACAGGGCUUAACCCUGUAAAGGCAGUGGAAACUACAAGACUAGAGUGCAGUAGGGGCAGAGGGAAUUCCCAGUGUAGCGGUGAAAUGCGUAGAGAUUGGGAAGAACAUCCGUGGCGAAAGCGCUCUGCUGGACUGCAACUGACAUUGAGGGACGAAAGCUAGGGGAGCGAAUGGG